rnacentral:rRNA from 1 species
CAGGGCCUAACACAUGCAAGUCGAACGGGCAGUAGCAAUACUAGAAGUGGCGCACGGGUGCGUAACACGUAACUAAUCUACCUACAACUGGGGGAUAGCCCGCCGAAAGGCGGAUUAAUACCGCAUAACACUUGAUUUCGGCAUCGAGAUUUAGUUAAAGAUUUAUUGGUUGUAGAUGAGGUUGCGGGUCAUUAGCUAGUUGGUAAGGUAACGGCUUACCAAGGCGACGAUGACUAGGGGAGCUGAGAGGCUGGUCCCCCACACGGGCACUGAGAUACGGGCCCGACUCCUACGGGAGGCAGCAGUAGGGAAUAUUGGGCAAUGGGCGAGAGCCUGACCCAGCCAUGCCGCGUGCAGGAAGAAGGCUUUCUGAGUCGUAAACUGCUUUUGAUAGGGAAGAAUAAGGUGUACGUGUACACUGAUGACGGUACCUACAGAAUAAGCACCGGCUAACUCCGUGCCAGCAGCCGCGGUAAU